rnacentral:rRNA from 1 species
AUGUCAAAGAGCGUGUGGUCCCUCCGAGACGAUGAUGAUGAUUCACUGCUACCUGUAUACGGCGAUGAGACGUCUGAUCCGAAGCUAUGGCUGCAUGGUCUCUGUAAUACGUUGAGCCAAGACAGGUUUGUUGUUGUUCUUACCACCCUAUGGGCGAUAUGGUGGGCGCGCCGCAAGGCUAUUCAUGAGCAGGAAUUUCAAAGUCCACUGUCCACGCAUUUGUUCAUUGAACGCUAUUUACAAGAGUUGAGAGAACUGCCAGCCAAAAAGCAAAAGAUCAAGAACACUAGUGGAGCUGCUAGUACAUCAGCGCCUAGAUGGAUACCGCCUUCACCAGGAGAGACCAAACUGAAUGCUGACGGGGCUGUGGCGAAGUCAUCAAAUAUUGGUGCCGUGGGUGUGAUCUGUCGCAACGCAGAGGGACAGUUUCUUGGCGCUUCUGCACUAGUCUUCAAGGGAGUAACCAAGCCUGCAACGCUUGAGGCUUAUGCAUGUAGAGAGGCUCUAGCUUUGGCAGAAGAUAUGGUCGUCACCAAAGUGCGUAUAGCAUCCGACUGUCUGAGAGAUAUACAUGAGACGAAGUCGAGUUUCCUUAGCUGUGAGUUCGUUCACGAGCAACGCGCUAGUAAUAGCGAGGCACUUAAUUUAGCGAGGAUGGCCACUACCUUAGAUAUCGGCCGUCAUGUGUGGCUCAACGGUCCUACGGAAUCGAUGGAAUUGGCCCGCCGUUCAUCUGGGGAUGGAGUUAUGGAGACGGUACCGUGCAUGUGUGUGUACUAUCUACUCCCUCCGUUCCAAAAUAGAAGUUAG